GUGGAAGGACGAGAACUUCCUGUGCCGCCCCUGCCGCUGUUCUCUGGCCAGCGGGAGUUGUAAGGGUUUUCCCCAGAGCCCUUGGGAUCUGUGCAUCCCACACAGAUUGAGGCUUUGAGAAGCUGAGGAGGACUCCUUUCCCGAAGGACUAGUGGGGCCUCUUUGAAUAGCUGAGAAAACAACACCUGGUAAAAAUCAUCUGAUAGUAUUCUUUGGGCAAGGAAGAAGACCCAGAAGGAGACAGCUGGGGUCUACGGACCGGGUCACUCUGGUUUCUGAGUAGUGUUUGUAUCUGUUAUGAGCUGACAUAAUGAACAAUCAUAUUCCCAAAUGCAGCCUCCAACUAAUAAGACAAUCAUUGCUUUAUAUAUUUAUCAUUAUUAGGUGGACAAAAAAUUUUAAAACCUGAUUUUUAACAGAGGCAGAUAUAUUUCAGUUAUGUAAACUCUUUUCUUUGCCAAAAGCAACUAGAAUCCCAGAAAGGGAAGAUUAAAUUACUGAAAUAUGAAGGAUGGAAAAAAUUGUCUUUAUUAGUACUAUACUUAAGAGGUACUUGACUUAUUUAUUUUAUGGUUUAAAGAUUAACUUUUCCCUUGGUCCUAGGAGGGACACACAAUUCAUAACUCUCCUAGUCUUUCCUUAAACCCUUGCCGUAGGGGAAAAUUAAGCUUUCAUAGAUGCCAGCAGCCUGAAUACCCAAGAAUUUGCCAUUGGCAGGAUUCCUGCUUCUCCCUGAAGCCUUAACAUCAGAACUCCAGAGAAGCCUUCCCAGAUGGGGUACACUACCAAAGAACUCCUGUUGAGAGAAGCCCACGUUUAUGGUGCCCUGAGUCUUUCCUGCUACUUCCUCACUUGCCAGCCUGCUACCUCACUUUCUCCACAUGGCAGAUUUUAAGAAAAUUGAUGAGGUAGGCCUAGAGUUAGUGUUCAGUAAAUGUUAUUAAGUGGUUGAAUAAACGUGUGCCUUU